rnacentral:rRNA from 1 species
AACGAACGCUGGCGGCAGGCCUAACACAUGCAAGUCGAACGCUGCAGCAAUGCAGAGUGGCAGACGGGUGAGUAACGCGUGGGAACCUUCCCAGUGGUACGGAAUAGCCGCGGGAAACUGGGGGUAAUUCCGCACAAGCCCGUAGGGGGAAAGAUUUAUCGCCAUCGGAUGGGUCCGCGCCGGGUUAGCUAGUUGGUGAGGUAAUGGCUCACCAAGGCGACGACCCGUAGCUGGUCUGAGAGGAUAAUCAGCCAAACUGGGACUGAGACACGGCCCAGACUCCUACGGGAGGCAGCAGUGGGGAAUAUUGGACAAUGGGCGCAAGCCUGAUCCAGCCAUGCCGCGUGAGUGACGAAGGCCUUAGGGUUGUAAAGCUCUUUUGGCGGGGACGAUAAUGACGGUACCCGCAGAAUAAGCUCCGGCUAACUUCGUGCCAGCCGCCGCGGUAA